GGACCCUAAUCAGACUUCCGAGAAAAUCCUCUAAGCUUCAGAUGCAAGCCGCCCGUACCGCAAACCGACACAGGUAGUCAAGGAGAGUAUCCUAGGCGCUCGAGUGAUCCGUGGCUAAGGAACUAGGCAAAUUAAGCGCGUAACUUCGGGAUAAGCGCUACCAACGCAAGUUGGUUUCAAUGAAAAGGCUCAGGCGACUGUUUAACAAAAACACAUGGCUCUGCAAAAUCGAAAGAUGACGUAUAGGGCCUGACACCUGCCCGGUGCUGGAAGGUUAAGAGGAGAUGUCAGCCGCAAGGUGAAGCAUUGAAUCGAAGCCCCAGUAAACGGCGGCCGUAACAAUAACGGUCCUAAGGUAGCGAAAUUCCUUGUCGGGUAAGUUCCGACCUGCACGAAUGGUGUAACGAUCUGAGCACUGUCUCGGCCACGAGCUCGGUGAAAUUGUAGUUUCGGUGAAGAUGCCGGAUACCCGCAACGGGACGGAAAGACCCCGUGCACCUUUACUAUAGCUUCACAUUGACAUCGGCUGCCCGAUGUGUAGGAUAGGUGGGAGACUUUGAAGCUGCGUCGCUAGGCGUGGUGGAGUCAACGUUGAAAUACCACCCUUCGUUCAUCUGAUGUCUAAUCCCUGCGAAACAGGGAAACAGUGUGUGGUGGGUAGUUUGACUGGGGUGGUCGCCUCCAAAAAAGUAUCGGAGGCUUCCAAAGGUUCCCUCAGCACGCUUGGUAACCGUGCGUUGAGUAUAUUGACAAAAGGGAGCUUGACUGUGAGACUGACAAGUCGAGCAGGUACGAAAGUAGGGCAAAGUGAUCCGGUGGUUCCAUAUGGAAGGGCCAUCGCUCAUAGGAUAAAAGGUACGCCGGGGAUAACAGGCUGAUCAUUCCCAAGAGCUCAUAUCGACGGAAUGGUUUGGCACCUCGAUGUCGGUUCGUCACAUCCUGGGGCUGGAGAAGGUCCCAAGGGUUCGGCUGUUCGCCGAUUAAAGUGGCACGUGAACUGGGUUCAGAACGUCGUGAGACAGUUCGGUCCCUAUCUGUUGCGGGCGUUAGAAGUUUGAGGGGAGCUACCAUUAGUACGAGAGGACCGUGGUGGACGAACCGCUAGUGUACCAGUUGUGGCGCCAGCUGCAUCGCUGGGUAGCUAUGUUCGGACGGGAUAAGCGCUGAAAGCAUCUAAGCACGAAGCCCACCUCAAGAUGAGACUUCUUUAUAAGGGUCGUGGAAGAUUACCACGUUGAUAGGCUGCAGGUGUAAAGUCAGCAAUGGCAAAGCCGAGCAGUACUAAUUACCCAAAAAG
rnacentral:rRNA from 1 species